rnacentral:rRNA from 1 species
UCGGCUGGGGAUGGGCCCGCGGCCUAUCAGCUUGUUGGUGGGGUGAUGGCCUACCAAGGCGACGACGGGUAGCCGGCCUGAGAGGGCGUCCGGCCACACUGGGACUGAGACACGGCCCAG